UACAUGUCAAAGAAACAUAUAUGAUUAUUUCAUUUGGGUUCCCAAGUAGAACCCCAGUUACAACAAAUCCAUUCAGUAGCUUCAAGCCAACUACAUAUCUAUAAAUAUUUAAAUACCCUUUAUCUGACUAGACAAAAUACAGAAAAUACAUAUUGUGUGCCUGAAUUCUUGAUACUAUGGGUCACAAGGCUAUAUAAGACAUACAACAAGUGCUUAUGUACAAAUAUCAAAUGAAUACAGUACAAGGAGGCUUACAAUUUGAGUGCUCUCCUUUUUCAUUUAGAUUUCCUUUCCUAGAACCUCCAUACGUAAAAUCACAACUAAAAUACAGUUAGCACCCCAAAAUUUGUUGGGUUGUUGAGGUUUGCACCCUAAUGUCUAAAAAGUAUUCAAGUGCACUCCAAGCCGAGGUGAAGCAACUCUUUUGUAUUACCCUUGGGGACGAGAAGAUUCAAAGGAGGGUGCAUUUUGCUUAGCAGAAAAGAACCUUGGGAUGCACUUAGAUACCUUUUUAACAUUGGGGGUGCAAUCUCAAUAACCCUAUAAACUUUGGGCCACAAACAUUAUAUUUGUCAUAAAAUCACUAAUAAAACUUCGGACCCUGCAACGGCCAAGGAGAUUACGCCAUUUAAAU
rnacentral:lncRNA from 1 species